GCAUCGAUGGUUCAGUGGUAGAAUGCCGCGUGGCUCGCCUGCCGCGGGUGGCCCGGGUUCGAUUCCCGGUCGAUGCA